GCAUCAUUGGUCUAGUGGUAGAAUCCAUCGUUGCCAUAUCCCCUGAUCAAUGACAUGAUUGGUCAUAAUGUGACUCGAUGGGGCCCGUGUUCGAUUCACGGAUGAUGCA